AAUUGCCCUACUGCUAUUUCCAAGAAGCACCAUUAGACCUUGCUCUGAGCGAAAUAAAUUUUCCCAAAAGCCCACAUGCAGACUUCAUCUCGCAUCUCACUACCCCUGCCUAAACAUCGCUGGUGAGAAGAAUGUGGCCCAAAGAUGAGCUGAGACAACCAACAGGUAUUUCUCUAACUGAAGACGGAUCGGCUGUCACUGACACCGUUGUGGAGGGAUCUGUCGGAAAGGAGGAAGGGCAAAUGUCUUCCGUAGAAGAGUUGUCACUAAACAACACUUCAGAGACCCAUUAAAAUCACUGAAUGCAAACAAAUUCAAUUAGUGUGUGCAGUCGAGGCAGAGUGUGCAAUUCAUACUAGGUCUGCAGACGUGGUAAC
rnacentral:lncRNA from 1 species